CAAAGGUUAAUUCCGGUGGCGGAUGGGCAUGCGUCGCAUUAGUUAGUUGGCGGUGUAACGGACCACCAAGACGACGAUGCGUAGGGGUUCUGAGAGGAAGGUCCCCCACACUGGUACUGAGACACGGACCAGACUCCUACGGGAGGCAGCAGUGAGGAAUAUUGGUCAAUGGGCGGGAGCCCGAACCAGCCAAGUCGCGUGAGGGAUGACGGCCCUAUGGGUUGUAAACCUCUUUUGCCGGGGAGCAAAGUGCCGCACGUGUGCGGUUUGGAGAGUACCCGGAGAAAAAGCAUCGGCUAACUCCGUGCCAGCAGCCGCGGUAAUACGGAGGAUGCGAGCGUUAUCCGGAUUUAUUGGGUUUAAAGGGUGCGUAGGCGGACGCUUAAGUCAGCGGUAAAAUUGCGGGGCUCAACCUCGUCGAGCCGUUGAAACUGGGUGCCUUGAGUGGGCGAGAAGUACGCGGAAUGCGUGGUGUAGCGGUGAAAUGCAUAGAUAUCACGCAGAACUCCGAUUGCGAAGGCAGCGUACCGGCGCCCAACUGACGCUGAAGCACGAAGGCGUGGGUAUCGAACAGGAUUAGAUACCCUGGUAGUCCACGCAGUAAACGAUGAAUGCUAGUUGUCCGGGGCGAUUGAGUUCUGG
rnacentral:rRNA from 1 species